rnacentral:rRNA from 1 species
AAAGAGCUAAAUGUCUAAUAAAGUUAUUGUAGCAAAAUUAUUUUAAAUAGGCAUUUUGAAAUGAAAUGUUAUUCGUUUUUAAAUAUAUCUAGUUUUUUUAGAAAAAAAUUUAAUUUUAAAAUUAUAUUUAAUAUUUAUUAAUUAAUUAAUUUUUAUUAAAUAUAAUUUUUAUAUUUUAAGGGAUAAGCUUUAAAUUAAAUUAUUAUAAUAAAUAAUUUUUAUUUUAAAAAUUUUAUAAUUUAUAUUGUUAAUAAAUUUUAUUUUAUUAUAAAUAAUUUUAGAUUAAAUAAAAUUUAAUUAUUAAUUUAAUUUUAUAUAAAAAUGAUAUUUUUAAUUUUAAAAAAUUUGUAAUAAUGAUAAAAUUAGUAUAUUUUUUGUAAUAAUUUAAAAAUUAUUAUUAAUAAAAAAAUUAAUUAAAAGGAAUUCGGCAAAUAUUUAUAUUCACUUGUUUAACAAAAACAUGUCUUUUUGAUUUAAUUUAAAGUCUAAUCUGCCCACUGAUUUUUAAUUGAAGGGCUGCAGUAUUUUGACUGUACAAAGGUAGCAUAAUCAUUAGUCUCUUAAUUGGUGACUAGUAUGAAGGAUUGGAUGAGAUAUAUACUGUCUCUUAAUUAAUUUAUAGAAUUUAAUUUUUUAUUUAAAAAGGUUAAAAUAAAUUAAAAAGACGAGAAGACCCUAUAGAGUUUUAUAAAUGAUUUUAUUAAUUAAUUAUUUGUUUAAUAAAGAUUUUUAUACUUUUAUUUAUUUUAUUGGGGUGAUAAAAAAAUAAGUAAAACUUUUUUGUAGUUUAUACAUAAAUAAGUGAAAUAUUUGAUCCAAUUAUAUUGAUUAUAAGAUAAAAUUACCUUAGGGAUAACAGCGUAAUUUUUUUUUUUAGUUCAAAUAAGAAAAAGAGUUUGCGACCUCGAUGUUGGAUUAAGAUAAAAUUUAAAUGCAAAAGUUUAAAAUUUUG